ensembl:misc_RNA 7SK 7SK RNA
GGAUAUGAGGGCGACCUGGCUGAGACAUCUUCACCCCAUUGAUCGCCAGGGUUGAUUCGGCUGAUCUGGCUGGCUAGGCGGGUGUCCCCUUCAUCCCUCAACACUCCAUGUGCGUCCCUCCCGAAGCUGCGUGCUCAGUUGAAGAGGUCGGCCUUCUGGAAUAGAGACAGACCCGUCUUCGGUCGAGGGUAUACGAGUAGCUGCGCUCCCCUGCUAGAACCUCCAAACAAGCUCUCAAGGUCCUUUUAUUUUUUAAUUGUUAUAGUUAUUGAUGUUGUUGUUGUUGGAUAGGACAGAGAGAAAUGGACAGA